rnacentral:rRNA from 1 species
UACGAAGGUCCCAAGCGUUAUCCGGAUUUAUUGGGUUUAAAGGGUGCGUAGGCGGGUUAUUAAGUCAGUGGUGAAAGCCUUCAGCUUAACUGAAGAACUGCCAUUGAUACUGAUAGUCUUGAGUAUGAUUGAGGUGGGCGGAAUGUGUCAUGUAGCGGUGAAAUGCUUAGAUAUGACACAGAACACCGAUUGCGAAGGCAGCUCACUAAGUCAUAACUGACGCUGAGGCACGAAAGCGUGGGGAGCAAACAGG